rnacentral:sRNA from 1 species
UUCUUUUUCUUUCCCCAGAUCGGACCCAGCACAGGCAGCGUCAAUGCAAACUCCCCCCACCCCGCCUUCCACCCAUGUGUGUCAACCCUGCCCCUGGAGGGACCAUCUCUCGAGGUAAGGGAGGAGGG